AUUGAACGCUGGCGGCAUGCCUUACACAUGAAAGUCGAACGAGUGGCGAACGGGUGAGUAAUACAUCGGAACGUGCCCUGUAGUGGGGGAUAACGAGACGAAAGACUAGCUAAUACCGCAUACUAUAGGAGCGGCCGAUGUCUGAUUAGCUAGUGGGUGGGGUAAAGGCCUACCAAGGCGACGAUCAGUAGCCGGUCUGAGAGGACGGUCAGACAAACUGGGACUGAGACACGGCGCAGACUCCUACGGACGGCAGUAGUGGGGGAUUUUAGACAUUGGUGGAAACCCUGAUCCAGCAAUGCCGCGUGUGUGAAGAAGGCUUUCGGUGUGUAAAGCGCUUUGUUCCGGGAAGCGGUACCGGAAGAAUAAGGCCCGGCUAACUACGUGCCAGCAGCCGCGGUAAUAC
rnacentral:rRNA from 1 species